GCCGGAUAGCUCAGUGUAGAGCAGA
rnacentral:tRNA from 1 species